rnacentral:miRNA from 1 species
GGUAGAGUGAGCUCCAAUCCAAUAUUACCAGUUUCCUCUUAUAAAGAAACUAGUAAUAUUGGAUUAGAGCUCACUCCACU